rnacentral:lncRNA from 1 species
GCUGCUGCUACAGCGAAUUGAGAAUCCAACAAUUUUGAUCGGGCCAUUAGAAGAAACUAGAGAUUUUUUUUCUAAAAAUUUAAUUUGUUUGCCCUGUUUAACUUUGAGAGACAAUUUGUAUGACAUUAGAAGAAAGGACUCGCCUAUCGUGCAACAGGGGCACCAUACCACUGCUUUUGUCUUUUCUGUGUAAAAUUUCAUGAAGCCUUUUCACUUAUUCUUAUUUGAACUUUGCUUCAAAAAUAUUAAGUUCAUUUCUCCCAAACCCGUAAAUCCUUCAACGGCCGAUCAACGGCAAAUCGGCUCCUCCGGUGGCUGUGGUUGGUCAGAAAAGACAGAGGGAAUUGUGGAGAACAAAACUCAAGUGGUGGCGUCACCGGAAACUGGAGAAACAACGGCGAAUUGAAGCGGGGAUUCUGUGACUUUUCACGGCUUCGAUCGGCAGCUUUCCGAAUGCUUUACGGCGACAAGGAUGACAUGGAGAUGACCGGCAUCGCACGAGCUUCCGAUCGGUACCAACCUUGGCCGGUGGAGUUGCCGGAAACGGAAACAAAAUCCGGGUCGGGUUCGCGGGUCGGGUUGACCCGGUUAUUUUUGUGACAAGGAUGGCGUGGAGAUGACCGGCGUCGCACGAUCUUUCGAUCGGUACCAACCCUGGCCGGUGGCGUGGACAGAAAUGGAAACGAAAUUCGGGUCGGGUUCGCGGGUAUUUGUGAUAAAGAGAGGGGUAUUUUGAUAAAGGUGUAAUAUAGAAGAAAAAUGUAUAAAUAACAAAUAGUAUAAGGUUCUAAUUAUAAUGUUUCUAUGGAUGCAAUAGAAAUUAAUUUAAUAUUUAUGAGGUAAAUUUUAAAUAAAAAUAAAUGAAAGGGGUUCAAUGAAAAUUUACAACACAGCUGGCACAAAAGACAAAACCAGUGGUACGGGUACCACGGUGGUACCGUAGUUGGAUCCUAGAAGAAAUUAUUUUUUCUUGGUGUUAUUGAGAAAUAAGGUUUUUACUAGCUAGCUAUAAGUGUGAGAACCCAGUGUAAUGAACAAAUGUACUUGCAACAUAUAUGAAUCAAAUGAAAUGAUCGAUCCAAUUGGUGAAAAUAGCAACCAGCUCAACUUUGAUUAUAC